UCGUCGAUCCCCGGCCUGGCCUCGCCGGCCGCCAGAGGGAGGAGUCCGUCGACGCGUGCUUGAAAGCUUAUUCCCUACCCUAACUGAAAUGCAAGCCGACACCGAUAGUUGACAUCUCUUCUCCCAUGUCGCCUGUUUCUCUCUCGCUCCGUUCCAGAGUGGGCGGCGGAACGCGACGUCACUCGGUCACGGCUUGCUUGCAGACAAUGGAGACCAGACCACCGAAUUCCGAGUCUCCCACUCUCCGCUCGACCCCCUAUAAAUCUCCUUCCCAAGCCAUCCCCGUUCUCUCCAUGCCAAUCUCACCGACACUCGCCUCGCACCGGUUCAGUGGCCGUGCGUCCCCUCUACCCGCCGGAUCUCGCAGCCGGCCGGGUGGGGUGGAUCAUCCACGUCGCGCAGGAGAUCCAUCGCCACACCCCCUUUCCUGAGAGAGCAAGCGCCCGCACAAGAUCGACAGACGACAUGUGGCGGGGUUCGCUGCUGCUGCUGCUGCUGCUGCUGCUUCUGCUCGCGGCGGCCGCGGCCGGUGAACCGGCGUCGACGCUCAUGGGCCCGUCGCAUGAAGACAGGGGCCACGCGAUGAUCCUGCCGGAGACAGGGCCCCCGGUGCAGCGGUGGGCAACGGGUGUUAGUUUUAACCUUUACUAUUUAUGCAUCUGCAUAUGUAUUCUGGCUUUGCACCUAGGUUAGAUGGUGAUUGAGUGAUUUGCCUUGUGGAUGUACCCGAGUAGGAGUUCUGUUUCACUUUCACCAGAGGUGCAAAGCGUGAGUGACAUCAAUCAGGGAGGUUGGCCUGUGUCUGUGUGGUACGUACUUCCAAGGUUGUAAGCAUAUUUGUUUUAACAAGAGGAAAACGUCAUGUGUGCACACACAACAAACACCUUUUUUUUUCUCCGUUCUUGAUAGAGUUGUGUAAAGUACAGAGCUAUACCUGAGAGAUUUGGCUUCAA